GACGAACGCUGGCGGCGUGCUUAACACAUGCAAGUCGAACGAUGAUGCGGUGCUUGCACCGUGGAUUAGUGGCGAACGGGUGAGUAACACGUGAGUAACCUGCCCUUCACUCUGGGAUAAGCGCUGGAAACGGUGUCUAAUACUGGAUAUUUAGGCUCUGCUGCAUGGUGGGGUUUGGAAAGAUUUUUUGGUGGAGGAUGGGCUCGCGGCCUAUCAGUUUGUUGGUGGGGUGAUGGCCUACCAAGACGACGACGGGUAGCCGGCCUGAGAGGGUGACCGGCCACACUGGGACUGAGACACGGCCCAGACUCCUACGGGAGGCAGCAGUGGGGAAUAUUGCACAAUGGGCGAAAGCCUGAUGCAGCGACGCCGCGUGAGGGAUGACGGCCUUCGGGUUGUAAACCUCUUUCAGUAGGGAAGAAGCGAGAGUGACGGUACCUGCAGAAGAAGCGCCGGCUAACUACGUGCCAGCAGCCGCCGUAACAC
rnacentral:rRNA from 1 species